rnacentral:rRNA from 1 species
AGUGAACGCUGGCGAUAGGCCUAACACAUGCAAGUCGAACGGCAGCACAGUAAGAGCUUGCUCUUACGGGUGGCGAGUGGCGGACGGGUGAGGAAUACAUCGGAAUCUACUUUUUCGUGGGGGAUAACGUAGGGAAACUUACGCUAAUACCGCAUACGACCUACGGGUGAAGGCAGGGGAUCUUCGGACCUUGCGCGAUUGAAUGAGCCGAUGUCGGAUUAGCUAGUUGGCGGGGUAAAGGCCCACCAAGGCGACGAUCCGUAGCUGGUCUGAGAGGAUGACAAGCCACACUGGAACGGAGACACGGUCAAGACUCCUACGGGAGGCAGCAGUGGGGAAUAUUGGACAAUGGGCGCAAGCCUGAUCCAGCCAUACCGCGUGGGUGAAGAAGGCCUUCGGGUUGUAAAGCCCUUUUGUGGGGAAAGAAAAGCAGCAGGUUAAUACCCCGCUGUUCUGACGGUACCCAAAGAAUAAGCACCGGCUAACUUCGUG